rnacentral:rRNA from 1 species
AGCAGUAGCCACGGUAAUACGAAGGGUGCGAGCGUUACUCGGAAUUACUGGGCGUAAAGCGUGCGUAGGUGGUGGUUUAAGUCCGUUGUGAAAGCCCUGGGCUCAACCUGGGAAUUGCAGUGGAUACUGGGUCACUAGAGUGUGGUAGAGGAUAGUGGAAUUUCCGGUGUAGCAGUGAAAUGCGUAGAGAUCGGAAGGAACAUCUGUGGCGAAGGCGACUAUCUGGGCCAACACUGACACUGAGGCACGAAAGCGUGGGGAGCAAACAGGAUUAGAUACCCCUGUAGUCCCUGUCUCUUAUAU